GGAGGGGUGGCCGAGUGGCUGAAGGCGCACGCUUGGAAAGCGUGUAUACGGGAAACCGUAUCGGGGGUUCGAAUCCCCCUCCCUCCGCCA
rnacentral:tRNA from 1 species